rnacentral:rRNA from 1 species
AGACGGUCCUUGGAUUGUAAACUGCUUUUGUACAGGAAGAAACACUACCUCGUGAGGUAGCUUGACGGUACUGUAAGAAUAAGGAUCGGCUAACUCCGUGCCAGCAGCCGCGGUAAUACGGAGGAUCCAAGCGUUAUCCGGAAUCAUUGGGUUUAAAGGGUCCGUAGGCGGUUUAGUAAGUCAGUGGUGAAAGCCCAUCGCUCAACGGUGGAACGGCCAUUGAUACUGCUAGACUUGAAUUAUUAGGAAGUAACUAGAAUAUGUAGUGUAGCGGUGAAAUGCUUAGAGAUUACAUGGAAUACCAAUUGCGAAGGCAGGUUACUACUAAUGGAUUGACGCUGAUGGACGAAAGCGUGGGUAGCGAACAGGAUUAGAUACCCUGGUAGUCCACGCCGUAAACGAUGGAUACUAGCUGUUGGGGGCAACCUCAGUGGCUAAGCGAAAGUGAUAAGUAUCCCACCUGGGGAGUACGUUCGCAAGAAUGAAACUCAAAUGAA